rnacentral:tRNA from 1 species
AUUUAUUUAGUAUAAAAGUAUAAUUGACUUCCAAUCAAAAGGCCUGAAUAUUUCAGAGUAAAUA